UACAGAGGGGGCAAGCGUUAUUCGGAAUUAUUGGGCGGAAAGGGCGCGUAGGCGGCCUGGCAAGUGGAAGGUGAAAUCCCUCGGCUUAACCGAGGAACUGCCCUCCAAACUGCUUGGCUUGAGUCCGGGAGAGGUGAGUGGAAUUCCCAGUGUAGCGGUGAAAUGCGUAGAUAUUGGGAGGAACACCAGUGGCGAAGGCGGCUCACUGGACCGGAACUGACGCUGAGGCGCGAAAGCGUGGGGAGCAAACGGG
rnacentral:rRNA from 1 species